ensembl:lncRNA
GCACUGGGGUGGGGGGCAGGGAGAAGGAAGUUCGGAGUCAGCGAUUAGAAGGAAGAGCUUCAUUUCAUAUUUUGUGGCUGACAGCCAAGCCAAAGAUUUUCUGAGGCUCACCUGCCUUGUUGGUAAAACAGGGAUUCAGAGAUGCUCCCCUCCCCUUGAUUUGAAUUUCUUCCUGCUAGAGAAUGCACUUGUAUAAGAGAUUUACUUAAAUAGAUACUUUCUUCUUUUAAAAGCACAAAUACAUUCCUGGUAGGGCCAAGUCUCUUCAGUCUCUCAACCAAGAGAAACACAAAAUAUCUUCUCACUUAAACUUGAAGGGGUCCUGAUGCUACCUGCCCCUGGAGAUGGGAAGAAGGGUCUCCAGAUUGGGCUUACUUGAUUGACAGGUGCUGAAAGUAAUGAUUCAGGAAGAGAUGAGUGGGCAGGUCUAAUCAUACAAAUAUCUGUGCAGCUAAUGCUGUGAGGAAACUGGUAAGGGCUUGCUUGAGCUCUGUUAGAAGAGAAAGCAGGUCACCUUUGGUAGGUAGCAACUGUUGGUAGCAAUCCAACCCUCCGCAGAGAACAGUCAGGGGCUCCUCUUGGCAAAAGAAAAGCUGACAGGAGAAAGACCCCAGCUUGGGAGAAAAACAGACACAUCUUUCAAUAUUGGCUGUGCUCUGAUCGGUGACGCUUGUUAGUUUCAUCAGUAAAGUAGUGAUUAUAUUUAACUCAAAGUAUGGUUGGAAGGACUGAAAUAGAGGAUAUAUGUCAUUUCCUGGCAUGAAGUAAACAUUCAGCGGACUUCCCUGGUGGUCCGGUGAUUAAGAAUCCUCUUUGCAAUGCAGGCGACACAGGUUCCAUCCCUGUUUGGGGAACUAAGAUCCCAUGUGCCACAGAGCAACUAAGCCUGCUCGCAACUACUGAGCUCAUGCACUUUAGAGCCCAUAUGCCUCAAGAAAAAGAUGCUGCAUGAUGCCACUAAGACCCAGUGCAACCAAAUAAAAAAAGAAUGAAAAAACUGUAAAUUACAGACAGUAUUCCCUGGUAGCUCAGCCGGUAAAUAAUCUGCCUGCAAUGAGGGAGACCUGGGUUCGAUUCCCGGGUUGGGAAGAUCCCCUGGAGAAGGGAGUGGCUACCCACUCCAGUAUUCUAGCCUGGAGAAUUCCGUGGACUGUAUAGUCCAUGGGGGUGCAAAGAGUCAGACAUGACUGAGCAACCAUCACUUUCACAGACAGCAUUAUGGGCUGAAGACUCCCAUAGGUAGGAGAGUUUAAACUCAUGGCUGCAAGUAGAGAAGUCAGGAGAGGACCUGAAGAAGAAAGGGCAAGGGUAACAGAUGAGAUUUCUGACCAGGAGAACGGUUGCAACAACAAUUAGAGGUUGGUGCAUCCGGUCAAAAAGGAGCCCAGCCUGAUUGGGAUCUGGGUAGGAAAGGCAACAUUGCUGCUACCCCAAGAAGUCUCAUUUGUAGGGCUCUACUAUAUUUGGGACAAAAAGCGGGGUUGGGGAGAAUAGCAGGGGAAGAGCAAGAUAUGUCAGAUCCUGAUGCCGGAGUUGGGACAUGACUGACAGAGGAAGCACGGUGUCAGAAAACUGAGGGUAUUUUUUACAACACUGAGUGAAUGAUAAAUGGUUUCCUUAAAAUAUAGCCCUUUGCCCCAAAACUGGUUAAGUCCAACCUUUAGACUCCAGCAAGCUUCAGGUUCUGAUACUGCCUCUCAAAAUGUGUGACAUAGUGACAUAUACUCUUUUGUUUUCCCAAGAGAGAAAUGACUUUCUUUUAAAAAGGAUAAAACUAACACUUACUGCUUGCAAAUAAAUACAUAAAUAACACAGGAGAAUAUAAAGAAAGUGAAAAAUCAUUUUAAUUUUCAUUCAUUUGAUUACCACUGAAGUAGAACUCCUGGUAAAUUUGUCAUUUCUGCUAGUGUGAAUUGCUCACAUUACUUCUAUGUCACUCUUAAAAAAAAAAAAAACUAUUUAACUGAUCUGUGACUUGCC